AUCCUUUCCCUCCCAUUUCAACUUUUCCCUCUAAACUCUCCAUUUUCUCUCCUCUGCUCAACCCCUGUGUGAAGCUAUCGCUCUUGUUAGAAUUGAUCAUGGUGAAAAUCCUUCAUUCCCAUGAAAAGCAAUGCGAUUGAGGUCGAUCAUGGAGGACGACUAUCUGGAUAGCAAGUUCGUCUGCAUUCCAAGAGGAGAUUAAGGAGCUUGAGAGUACUGAGACUCAAAAGAGGGAACAAGAAGAGAAGUUGAGAAGGGAAUAGGAAGAAGUUGUGAGAAGGGAACACAAUGAAGUUGCGAGAAGGUUACUUUGGCUUAAUAAUCUGUAAACUCUUAUAUAAAUUCUGGUGAAAUUGCUAGUGCUUCUCCAUUCUUUUUUGUCAUUUAUUUGACUUGUUCUGUUAAAAGGACCUAAGUGAUGUACAAUUAGCAAGUACCUCAAAAGCAAAAUAAUUACAAUAAAAAAAUAUGGCAAAAGGAUCUAAGUGAUGUACAAAUGAUUCAACUAAUAAAGAGAAAAAAAAGCGGGAAAAUAACGAAAGAAAAAGGAAAAAAAUUACAAAAAAUCUAGUAAAAAACACAAAAAAUAGACGCAAGCACCUAGUUGAUGUAUCAUUCUCUACUUAAUGAUGGGACAUACAUAAUGUAACAUAAGGACUUAACUGAUAUAGUAAAAUCAUCAAUUUGAUAUGUCAUGAACUUCAGGGUCUUUACUAAUGUACUAAAGAACUUAUUUGAUAUAGCAAAUGACUUAAUUGAUGUAGAAAAUGAAUGAUUUGAUGCAGCAAAAUAUUAAUUUGAUAUAGCAAAAUGACCUAACUGAUGUAAAAAUGGUCAAAUUGAUACAAGUAUCAUAACUCUGGAAUCUAAGUGAUGAAAAAAUUAAUUCAAGAACCUAAAUGACGUAAACCUGAUAAUUCAGGAAUCAAAUUGUCAGUUUAUUCAAAAACAAAAUUUAACAAAAAAUGGGGGGAGAAAUAAAAGAUAAAUAAGAAAAACAAAAAGCCACAACGGGACUAGCGCGGCAGGGAGAUUGAGAUUAGACUUGAAGUGGGAGAAGCGGCGCAGUCUCCAUCCAUCUCGAGGGAAUGGACGAUCCUGAUUUCGUCCCUGUUCCCGAGAAAAUCAGAAGGGACGACUGAAGGUGGGGGGAGGGGAGAGGAGAGGAGAGAGAGGAGGGGGGGUGGGGCAGGGAUGACGUCAGAUGGAAGGCGACUCCGACGCGCCCCUUAAACAGAGACGUGUCAAAGAAAGCGUGCCAGUAGGGCCCACCCAUGACCGUCUGAGGUCCCCUCACAGUGCGGGAGGUAAAAAUUGGAAGAACGGAAAGUCUGAUGUGGACUUCGGUGGUGGGCCCAUGCUCCCCUAAUAACUUUCUGGGCCCACCAGUUCACUAGGAUCCACGUCAUGAUGAGGAACAUUGUACAAUGAUGCUUCGAGAAGAAUUAUUUUGAGGGUGACCCGAGCUCAAUGGCUUCUUCCCUUGGUACCGACGCUCUGCUAACCACAAAUCUCACUCGAAUAUCCAAGUUAGGUUUCAUUGGUCAGGGAGCUAGGCACUCCCAUGAUGAUCCGUAAAGUCCAUCGAUUUAUGCUACCCUAGAUCCGCUCCGACGGAGACCCCGUUACGUCGGCCACAGCUACGGCUCUGCUCACCUGCAAGAAACGGAGCAUGAGAACGGUCAGGAGAUGCCCAUGUCCUUCCACUUCGCUAGAUCUCCAUUCAAUGGUCUGCGGCGGAUCAAGUCUUUCACCCUUUACUUCGGCAACUCUUCCGUAGAGCCAGUCGCAACUUCCCCUCUGACCACUGAUAGCAACCACCACCUUGAAAAGCCCAUCGAUGUUAUCUUUCUCCGGAGAAGGAUGAGGAGGAGAUUAGGUGAGGAUUCAGAAGGAUAGCGAAGUAAGAUUGAAGAUCAUCGGGACUCGUGUUGAUGCCACAUAAAUCGUAUGCACCUUUUAUCUAAUCUUGAGAAUUUAUCUACGUAGAAGGGUAGAGGAGGAACAGAGGGAGAACUUGAAGAAUAAAAUUCGAGUGUAAAAAGAGAGAUGAAGCUUCAGGGACAAAGGACAAGAAUGACGUGAAGCAUAAAAUUCAAAAAGAACUAGAGACACGGAGAACCAAUUCAAGAUGAAGUUGUUGCAGAACAAGUAUAAAUUUGUUUCAUAAGUAUUUGUCUUUGUCGAGUCUUGGAACCGUGUAAUUCUUAAAUUAUUAUGUGAUGACUUUGAGCAUAAUUAUUUGGGUUGUCAAUUUGAUUCAUGUAUAAUUUAUAUUUGUCCAUAUUGCUACUGGCCGACGGCUUGUUGAUA